UAUAACCUCUGCUAGCCAGUGUAAGAACUAACUUCUUAAACAGUGCUAUCGUUUAUGCUGAACAUUUAAUUAAAAACGAUUUCAUUUACUUACUUGACUGGUUUGGACCAUGAUGGAGGUGCCGUGCCAGCAUUCCUGCAGUGAUCCUUCAGGCUGCUUGGAAGCUACCGGCCCCAUCCUCCACUUGCACAAAGCAGGCCAGCAGCCAGUUUUGAAACUGUUGGCUAACAAGAGUCCCAGAAGGUUGAGCUGUCUCUUGUUUACAAGGGAGGACCAAAUUACCAAACAAAUACCUGUUGGUAGGAUCUUUUGUUUCUUGAGCACAUGAUGUCUGUUGAACCACUGUUUCUAAGCAUAAGCCUCAGACACCUUCAGGAUCCGUCCAGUAUAAACUCCUCCUUUAAAGGAUAGCUAGUUUGGCAUAUAUAGUGAUAGUCUGUUUUUAUCACCACAGUCUAGAUAAAAUUUAGAAACUGGAAACACUUCUGUCUAGCAGUCAUAAUUCUGUCUUCAUUUAUCUGGCACCAGCUUUCCUUGCUCUUUCUUUUGAUUCAUUCUUCAUUUUCUUCUCCAAAUAUUUUCUUUGACUGAGUACCUAUAGUACUAAUGCUUGGCAUGUCGAGUAGUUCUAAUUCUGGUCACUCAUGGGAGUAGGUGUUGAGGCUGUCCAAUACUUUUCAGACUCAUAUCCAAAAGACAAAAUUGAUACAGGCUGUAAAACCAUUAAAGCAACAGCAAUCCAACCCAAUGUGAAAAGCUGUGUUGAAGAAAACUCCCCAGUAAAAUCUGUGUAUGCCAGGAAGAAAAGCUCAAAGUUUUCCUUGAACUGACUCUGCAGAGCAGCCCAAGUGAUAAGGCAUGACCAAAGGAGAAAAAAUUUAAUCAGAACUGAGCGGACUAGAUAUUAGGUUUUUAAUUUUGAAAUAGCUAUAAGUGUAACAAGCUUGGUGGUCUCACCAUGGCCCCUGGCAGUUAGGGGAAUCCACAGCAUGAAACCACCACACAUCGUCUGACACAAUUGGCAGCGUAAGAGAGGCCCAGCUCUGAGCCUCUGCAGCUGCACUGCAUUGUCACUGUGACAGAAAGCACAAAGCUGUGUGCUGUAACAGUCCCGACACGCCACGUGGGAACCACCCCAGUGUACGGAGAGUGUGUGCAAUGGCAGGCCCAACAUCAGUUCAGACAGCUCUCAUAGUCAUUUGCAUUACCUUUCAUCAAUAAACAGCCUUGGUGAGAGUUUUUAUGGUUUUAGAAUUUCCUUAAUAACCUACGGAAAGUGAUAAAAGCAGCAAAUGAAACAAUCCCAUAUGGGAAUUUCUCAGAAAGAGGCCAAGUUUCACGUGCCCUUCAGACUAUGUAAUAGAGUGAGCGUUAUAGCAAGCUGGGAAGGAAGUGAGAAAGGACAAAGACAGAAGGAGGUGCAGCUAGGAGUAGAGUUUUUAAUCUUCACAGUUAAUACUCAGUAAUUUUUGUAAUACGUUUCAAUGAUGAGCUUAAGUAGUUCUGUUAAUGAAUUACUUGUGUCACAUAAUGUCCUUGAGUGCAGCAAUAUUAAAUGGAUCUACAAACGAGUACACUUAGAGGCUGAGCAAACCCCGACAUACUACAUGUGCAGCCCAUCAGGGAGAAAUUUGAGGUGCAACAACAGCUCCCAUGCCCGGCUCCUGCUCCGGGACACACACAGGCCACUGGGAUAAGUGGCCCCUUCGCUCCCACAGCUCUUCUGCUCAUCUGUCCCUUCAAGUCCUUUGGGCUUCCAUCCUUUGGGUCUGAUUAGCUGUAAAACAGAAUAGGUUAACCUACUACCACUGGGUUUAGUGGAAGUGGCUUCAAACCUUAAUUUGGCUAUUAAUGGCCUCUGAAAUACAGAAAUGGCAUAGGAGAGAAUUUAAGCCACUCUAGUUCAGUUGGCCAUAGCAGCCACUUAACAAAGUCAGUGAUCAUCAAAAUCGAACAGUAGAAUGCUGAUUAUCAGGAAAAAUAAAUCACUUUCCUAUUUGCCUUUAUCAAGAGAGUAUGUCUUAUAAAAUAGGGACCAAAUGUCAUUUGUUUUUACUUUAAUUGUAUUCUAAGAGCUUCCUCUUUCUUUCUGAAUCAAAUGUCUGUUAAGUAUUUAUGGCAUGGCAUGAGUCAGAGGAAGCUUGCACAAGAUUCAUAGCGUGCAAUUCAGCGCUAUUGUUUUGAAGUCAUCAAAUUGGGAAAGCUAUCAGUCCAUUAAGAAUGACCUGCAAAGCCACAAAAAUAGAUUUUAGCCAUGAGUCUCCCUCUCUGUCUACGCAGAGUAAUUGCAAGACUGAAGCUCUUUAUUCUGUGAGUAAUCAGGAACCACAGCAAUGUUGAUGAAAGCAAUAGCUUAAUGCUACUCAAUUAUGGUGUAUGCAUAGUCAUUGAAGGAUCAGCUCUGAAAAUUCUUUUAAACGUUUAAGGCAAGUGGGAAACACAAUCACAGAAUGGCCAGGGUUGGAAGGGACCUCAAAGAUUGUGAAUCUCCAACCCUCCUCCCACAUGCAGGGCCACCAACCUCCACAUUUAAUACUAGACCAUGCUGUCCAGGG
rnacentral:lncRNA from 1 species